GUCAUCAACACUUUCUUUCUGUGUUAAAUAUUGUGUGUGGCUCCUGUGUAUAAAUGAUUUAGCAAUAGUAUUGCCUUUUUUGGGUUGAUAAUCAAACUAGACCUUCCACAAAACAAUAAACUUGGCAUCAAAAAGUGUAAUAUGCUAAAUUUUACUAGCUUUCCCUUUGGAAGUAAACUAAUGUGUCUUCCUUCCUAUUGCUUCUCUAGUCGUCCUCCCAGCGCUAGUCAGCUGUUUGCCAGCAACGUCACAAAUAAGACAGACCUACGGUCACUAAACUCAAGGGUCUUCAUCGGGAACCUGAACACUAUGCUGGUUACCAAGGCUGAUGUUGAAGCCAUUUUUAGCAAAUACGGCAAGAUUGUUGGCUGCUCUGUGCACAAGGGUUAUGCCUUCGUCCAGUACGUCAACGAGAGGAACGCACGGACGGCUGUAGCAGGAGAAGACGGCCGGAUGAUUGCUGGACAGGUGCUCGAUAUUAACUUGGCAGGAGAGCCCAAACCUCACAGGUCAAAAACAACAAAGAGAUCAGCUGGAGAUAUGUACAGCAGUAGUUCUUCUUUCGAGCUUGAUUAUGAUUUCCAGAGAGAUUAUUAUGACAGAAUGUAUUCCUACCCUUCCCGUGUGCCCCCUCCACCACCACCUCCUCUCUCACGGGCUGUGAUCCCUACCAAACGUCCUCGGGUCAGUGUGAGUGGGGGAACCAGCCGCCGCACCAAGUCCAGCUUCUCCACUUCAUCCAAGAGCAGCGGGCGGACAUCUUCACAAACCCUGAAAGCAGAUGACCUCCAAAUUAUUAAGAGAGAGCUUUCUCAAAUCAAACACAAAGUUGACUAUCUUCUGGAGAGUCUGGACAGGAUGGAGAAAGACCACAUUAGGAAAUCUGAGGGAAAGAGUGUGAAGACAGAAGUGGGUGAGGCUUCCUCCCUUCAGUAUUCCAGCAAGAAAGACAGAGAGAGGGAAGAGCAAGAGAUAAAUGAUUCUGAGGAGGAGAGAGAUUUGUUGGAGGAGGAAGAGGUUAAAAGCCAGGGAGGAGAGAAUGAAGAAGAGGAAGAAGAGGGUAAGCAUGAAGAAGGGGAAGACGAUGGUGACAGCAUUAACGGCGACGACUCGUAGGUUGUUUUAAACACCAGAAAUAUGAUACACAUGCUCAAAAUUCAGCCCCUUCAGUUCAGGUUGAGGCCAGACUUUAAAAGAUUGUCUAUUAUGAUGUAGAUGCCUACAAUCUUAUAAUAACUGACACUACAGUUACAUCACUUUAACUGAUGGCAGUUUAUUUUUAAUGUUAGCAUGACAUCUUUUCAGGUUUUUGAAAUGUCCCUUAACCAUGAUGAAGACAAAAGGUCUGUUUUCAAACAACUGAAAUUAUUACAUUCGCCAGUUAUUCUUAAUCAAUCUGACUUGAACCUGAGAGGUUUUUAUAUUUCACUAGCAGAAAAUGUCCAUUAUGUUUUCUCAGAGUGAAACUGGCCUGAUGCCUGUGUGCCCCUAGUGUCUUAUGGGAUAUCAUUUUUUUCUGUGAACGAUAAAAUUUGUAUUUUAUAAGGGGGAAACUUGAGUGGCUUCUUUAUUAGAGCCGAGAAGCUUCCAGGAAACAUCUGUUUUUAUUUACUGCUCUUUUUUUAUUACCCGUUUUCGGAAUCAUUCUACAGGAAAAUUUCAAUAAAAUAUUAAAUAAAAAUUGUUUAGUUUUUUUAAGUUUUGCAAACAUAACAGUCAUGAAGGCUUGGAAACACUGGCAAAUCAUGCAUGUCAGUGAUUUAUUUAUUUUUUUAUAUUAGCAGCGAGGACAGAUUGUUUUUAGUUUCGUUUUUUUAAAUUUAGUUUUUCAAUUCACAUCACCAAUAACAUGAAUUUGAUAUUAGCUAUGAUUACUAUUUUACCAUCUCACUGCUCACUAUGAGCUUUAAAUGUCUGAUUUUCACUUAUUUUAACUUUCUUCUGCUUUGCUGGUGUCUGAUCACAUGGGGUAAAAAUGAAAGUGAAACAUAAUUCAGUCAUAUUUGGUUUAAUUCAAUGUUCAGCAUUUGAUGCUAGAAAUAUGGAAAGUACUACUACUUUUUUUUUUUUUAUUUAAACAUUGUAACUAAAAAGCAAUGAUCUCCCUUUAUCUAAGCCUAUUAUUUACAACUCUUUACUAAAAUGUAGUUUACUUACACAGGAACAAUUAAGUUCAAAUAAAAUAAUUAUUUCAUAUUGCACACUGGAUGUGAUACAAGUUUUAGACAAUCACAGGGGGAAAAUCAGAAAACCACCAAAACUGGUGUAACUUUCUGGGUCAUCAUAAACCCAGGUGUUAGCCCAAAGUUGUGUAGAAAUCUGAUCACCGAUCUCCAGUGUGAGAACAACACCAUUGCUGCCAUUACCAUUGGAGGUAGGCUUCCAAGCAAACACUGAGCACUGGGUUUUUCCGUUCUUCAAGAGACUGACUGCCAUCGUUGUUCCACCAUGACCAUGACCGUAAAAUUUGAAGUAAUAGGCUCCUUUCACUGGUGCUGUGAAAACACCUGCAAUGCACAUGUACAAAGCAGCCACAGUAAAUAUCAUAUGUGAAGAGGAUUCUGCAUUUGACAUGAUAUUCUCUUUACAGAACUUACCGGUAUUUGAGUCAUAGGCACCUCCAAUAUUGCUAAAUACUUUUUUGUAGACCAGAGUUAUCACAGAAUUAGAGGGCCCAGUGUGUCCAGUUUCAGAUUCCAAAAGUCCAGCAGAAAAGGCAACCUUUUUGGCUAAACAUUUGAAUAAACAAAUGGACUGGUGUGAAAUGUAUAAAAAAAUAAAAAUAAGUGUCAUUUAAAACAUUAAAAUGUACAACAAAGUGUGAAUUAUACUUGCCUUCAUUUUCUUUUUGGAGAAAUUCCAGCUUUUGUGAAUGUUCUUUCAGGGUUUUCAAAACUGUUCGGAAUGUACAUUGAUGUGAUAAUGUUACAAUGUUACGAAACAAAGAAUUGAAAACAAUUUAACUUGUAAUUUCUUUAAAUUAGUUCCUUUAAAUUAAUGACGUGUUAAAUUUUUAAAAUAAAAAUUACAACAACUUUUCCACUUUACCUUCAUUCUCACUCAAUACUGUGGCCAGUGUUUCUUCUAAUUUUUGUAUCCUUUCAUCCAUGUUUUUCAGUUUCUCGAGAUCCGCAAUAUUGUUUAAAUUUGCUGUAAAUUCUUCUGCAAGUGAACUCCCAGCACAGAGCAGCAGUACCAUUUGUAACACCGCCAUCGUCAGUUCUUUUUCAGGUUCUCAAAUUAGUCCUGUAAUUAAUCCAUAAUGUCCUCUACAAAUAAAUAA